rnacentral:rRNA from 1 species
ACUCCUACGGGAGGCAGCAGUGAGGAAUAUUGGUCAAUGGACGAAAGUCUGAACCAGCCAUGCCGCGUGCAGGAUGACUGCCUUAUGGGUUGUAAACUGCUUUUAAUCAGGAAGAAAUGUCCCUACGAGUUGGGGAUUGAC